rnacentral:rRNA from 1 species
ACGCUCGACACCUACGGAAGCAGCAGUGGGGAAUAUUGCACAAUGGGGGAAACCCUGAUGCAGCGACGCCGCGUGGAGGAAGAAGGUCUUCGGAUUGUAAACUCCUGUUGUUGGGGAAAAAGAGGAUGGUACCCAACAAGGAAGUGACGGCUAACUACGUGCAAGCAGCCGCGGUAAUCUGAGCGGGCUGGCAAGGC